rnacentral:rRNA from 1 species
GUAGGGGGCAAGCGUUGUCCGGAAUUAUUGGGCGUAAAGAGCUCGUAGGCGGUUCGGUAAGUCGGGUGUGAAAAUCCAGGGCUCAACCCUGGGACGCCACCCGAUACUGCUGUGACUAGAGUCCGGUAGAGGAGCGUGGAAUUUCUGGUGUAGCGGUGAAAUGCGCAGAUAUCAGAAGGAACACCAGCGGCGAAGGCGGCGCUCUGGGCCGGUACUGACGCUGAGGAGCGAAAGCGUGGGGAGCAAACAGGGAUUAGAUACCCUGGUAGUCCACGCCGUAAACGUUGGGCACUAGGUAUGGGGUCUUAUCAACGGAUUCCGUGCCGUAGCUAACGCAUUAAGUGCCCCGCCUGGGGAGUACGGCCGCAAGGCUA